rnacentral:rRNA from 1 species
CCUACGGGGGGCAGCAGUAGGGAAUAUUGCUCAAUGGGGGAAACCCUGAAGCAGCAACGCCGCGUGGAGGAUGAAGGUUUUCGGAUUGUAAACUCCUUUUGUUAGAGAAGAAAAUGACGGUAUCUACCGAAUACGCACCGGCUAACUCGGGGCCAGCAGCCGCGGUAAUAAGGAGGGUGCAAGCGUUACUCGGAAUCACUGGAGGUAAAGGGCGCGGAGGCGGGAUAGCAAGUCAGAUGUGAAAUCAUAUGGCUUAACCAUAGAACUGCAGUUGAAACUGUUAUUCUAGAGUAUGGGGGAGGUAGGUGGAAUGCUUGGUGUAGGGGUAAAAUCCGUAGAGAUCAAGAGGAAUACUCAUUGCGAAGGCGACCUGCUAGAACAUAACUGACGCUGAUGCGCGAAAGCGUGGGGAGCAAACAGGAUUAGAUACCCUAGUAGUC